rnacentral:rRNA from 1 species
GGUUAAGCGACUAAGCGUACACGGUGGAUGCCCUGGCAGUCAGAGGCGAUGAAGGGCGUGCUAAUCUGCGAUAAGCGCCGGUAAGGUGAUAUGAACCGUUAUAACCGGCGAUACCCGAAUGGGGAAACCCAGUGUGACUCGUCACACUAUCAUUAACUGAAUCCAUAGGUUAAUGAGGCGAACCGGGGGAACUGAAACAUCUAAGUACCCCGAGGAAAAGAAAUCAACCGAGAUUCCCCCAGUAGCGGCGAGCGAACGGGGAGGAGCCCAGAGCCUGAAUCAGCAUGUGUGUUAGUGGAAGCGUCUGGAAAGGCGCGCGAUACAGGGUGACAGCCCCGUACACAAAAGCGCAUGUGCUGUGAGCUCGAUGAGUAGGGCGGGACACGUGGUAUCCUGUCUGAAUAUGGGGGGACCAUCCUCCAAGGCUAAAUACUCCUGACUGACCGAUAGUGAACCAGUACCGUGAGGGAAAGGCGAAAAGAACCCCGGCGAGGGGAGUGAAAAAGAACCUGAAACCGUGUACGUACAAGCAGUGGGAGCCCCACCACUAAGCCAGUGGUGAACUCCACAUACGCAUCCUUUGCUGAGGAUACGGUUAACGGAGCGAAAGCGACGUUCAACCGCAAAAGAAGCAGAGGGGGCUUAGUGGUGGGGUGACUGCGUACCUUUUGUAUAAUGGGUCAGCGACUUAUAUUCUGUAGCAAGGUUAACCGAAUAGGGGAGCCGGAGGGAAACCGAGUCUUAAUUGGGCGUUAAGUUGCAGGGUAUAGACCCGAAACCCGGUGAUCUAGCCAUGGGCAGGUUGAAGGUUGGGUAACACUAACUGGAGGACCGAACCGACUAAUGUUGAAAAAUUAGCGGAUGACCUGUGGCUGGGGGUGAAAGGCCAAUCAAACCGGGAGAUAGCUGGUUCUCCCCGAAAGCUAUUUAGGUAGCGCCUCGUGAAUUCAUCUCCGGGGGUAGAGCACUGUUUCGGCUAGGGGGCCAUCCCGGCUUACCAACCCGAUGCAAACUGCGAAUACCGGAGAAUGUUAUCACGGGAGACACACGGCGGGUGCUAACGUCCGUCGUGAAGAGGGAAGCAACCCAGACCGCCAGCUAAGGUCCCAAAGUCAUGGUUAAGUGGGAAACGAUGUGGGAAGGCCCAGACAGCCAGGAUGUUGGCUUAGAAGCAGCCAUCAUUUAAAGAAAGCGUAAUAGCUCACUGGUCGAGUCGGCCUGCGCGGAAGAUGUAACGGGGCUAAACCAUGCACCGAAGCUGCGGCAGCGACACUGUGUGUUGUUGGGUAGGGGAGCGUUCUGUAAGCCUGUGAAGGUGGCCUGUGAGGGUUGCUGGAGGUAUCAGAAGUGCGAAUGCUGACAUAAGUAACGAUAAAGCGGGUGAAAAGCCCGCUCGCCGGAAGACCAAGGGUUCCUGUCCAACGUUAAUCGGGGCAGGGUGAGUCGACCCCUAAGGCGAGGCCGAAAGGCGUAGUCGAUGGGAAACGGGUUAAUAUUCCCGUACUUGGUGUUACUGCGAAGGGGGGACGGAGAAGGCUAUGUUGGCCGGGCGACGGUUGUCCCGGUUUAAGCGUGUAGGUGUGUGUUCCAGGUAAAUCCGGUUCACUUUAACACUGAGGCGUGAUGACGAGGCACUACGGUGCUGAAGCAACAAAUGCCCUGCUUCCAGGAAAAGCCUCUAAGCAUCAGGUAACAUCAAAUCGUACCCCAAACCGACACAGGUGGUCAGGUAGAGAAUACCAAGGCGCUUGAGAGAACUCGGGUGAAGGAACUAGGCAAAAUGGUGCCGUAACUUCGGGAGAAGGCACGCUGACAUGUAGGUGAAGUGAUUUACUCAUGGAGCUGAAGUCAGUCGAAGAUACCAGCUGGCUGCAACUGUUUAUUAAAAACACAGCACUGUGCAAACACGAAAGUGGACGUAUACGGUGUGACGCCUGCCCGGUGCCGGAAGGUUAAUUGAUGGGGUCAGCGCAAGCGAAGCUCCUGAUCGAAGCCCCGGUAAACGGCGGCCGUAACUAUAACGGUCCUAAGGUAGCGAAAUUCCUUGUCGGGUAAGUUCCGACCUGCACGAAUGGCGUAAUGAUGGCCAGGCUGUCUCCACCCGAGACUCAGUGAAAUUGAACUCGCUGUGAAGAUGCAGUGUACCCGCGGCAAGACGGAAAGACCCCGUGAACCUUUACUAUAGCUUGACACUGAACAUUGAGCCUUGAUGUGUAGGAUAGGUGGGAGGCUUUGAAGCGUGGACGCCAGUCUGCGUGGAGCCGACCUUGAAAUACCACCCUUUAAUGUUUGAUGUUCUAACGUGGACCCGUAAUCCGGGUUGCGGACAGUGUCUGGUGGGUAGUUUGACUGGGGCGGUCUCCUCCUAAAGAGUAACGGAGGAGCACGAAGGUUGGCUAAUCCUGGUCGGACAUCAGGAGGUUAGUGCAAUGGCAUAAGCCAGCUUGACUGCGAGCGUGACGGCGCGAGCAGGUGCGAAAGCAGGUCAUAGUGAUCCGGUGGUUCUGAAUGGAAGGGCCAUCGCUCAACGGAUAAAAGGUACUCCGGGGAUAACAGGCUGAUACCGCCCAAGAGUUCAUAUCGACGGCGGUGUUUGGCACCUCGAUGUCGGCUCAUCACAUCCUGGGGCUGAAGUAGGUCCCAAGGGUAUGGCUGUUCGCCAUUUAAAGUGGUACGCGAGCUGGGUUUAGAACGUCGUGAGACAGUUCGGUCCCUAUCUGCCGUGGGCGCUGGAGAACUGAGGGGGGCUGCUCCUAGUACGAGAGGACCGGAGUGGACGCAUCACUGGUGUUCGGGUUGUCAUGCCAAUGGCACUGCCCGGUAGCUAAAUGCGGAAGAGAUAAGUGCUGAAAGCAUCUAAGCACGAAACUUGCCCCGAGAUGAGUUCUCCCUGAGACUUUAGGUCUCCUGAAGGAACGUUGAAGACGACGACGUUGAUAGGCCGGGUGUGUAAGCGCAGCGAUGCGUUGAGCUAACCGGUACUAAUGAACCGUGAGGCUUAACCUU